rnacentral:rRNA from 1 species
GAGCGGCGGACGGGUGAGUAAUGUCUGGGAAACUGCCUGAUGGAGGGGGAUAACUACUGGAAACGGUAGCUAAUACCGCAUAACGUCGCAAGACCAAAGAGGGGGACCUUCGGGCCUCUUGCCAUCAGAUGUGCCCAGAUGGGAUUAGCUAGUAGGUGGGGUAACGGCUCACCUAGGCGACGAUCCCUAGCUGGUCUGAGAGGAUGACCAGCCACACUGGAACUGAGACACGGUCCAGACUCCUACGGGAGGCAGCAGUGGGGAAUAUUGCACAAUGGGCGCAAGCCUGAUGCAGCCAUGCCGCGUGUAUGAAGAAGGCCUUCGGGUUGUAAAGUACUUUCAGCGGGGAGGAAGGUGUUGAGGUUAAUAACCUCAGCAAUUGACGUUACCCGCAGAAGAAGCACCGGCUAACUCCGUGCCAGCAGCCGCGGUAAUACGGAGGGUGCAAGCGUUAAUCGGAAUUACUGGGCGUAAAGCGCACGCAGGCGGUCUGUCAAGUCGGAUGUGAAAUCCCCGGGCUCAACCUGGGAACUGCAUUCGAAACUGGCAGGCUAGAGUCUUGUAGAGGGGGGUAGAAUUCCAGGUGUAGCGGUGAAAUGCGUAGAGAUCUGGAGGAAUACCGGUGGCGAAGGCGGCCCCCUGGACAAAGACUGACGCUCAGGUGCGAAAGCGUGGGGAGCAAACAGGAUUAGAUACCCUGGUAGUCCACGCCGUAAACGAUGUCGACUUGGAGGUUGUGCCCUUGAGGCGUGGCUUCCGGAGCUAACGCGUUAAGUCGACCGCCUGGGGAGUACGGCCGCAAGGUUAAAACUCAAAUGAAUUGACGGGGGCCCGCACAAGCGGUGGAGCAUGUGGUUUAAUUCGAUGCAACGCGAAGAACCUUACCUACUCUUGACAUCCAGAGAACUUUCCAGAGAUGGAUUGGUGCCUUCGGGAACUCUGAAACAGGUGCUGCAUGGCUGUCGUCAGCUCGUGUUGUGAAAUGUUGGGUUAAGUCCCGCAACGAGCGCAACCCUUAUCCUUUGUUGCCAGCGGUUAGGCCGGGAACUCUAAAGAGACUGCCAGUGAUAAACUGGAGGAAGGUGGGGAUGACUUCAAGUCAUCAUGGCCCCUUACGAGUAGGGCUACACACGUGCUACAAUGGCGCAU